UAGGGAAUCUUCGGCAAUGGACGAAAGUCUGACCGAGCAACGCCGCGUGAGUGAUGAAGGUUUUCGGAUCGUAAAACUCUGUUGCCAGGGAAGAAUGGCCAGAAGAGUAACUGCUUUUGGUUUGACGGUACCUGAGAAGAAAGCCCCGGCUAACUACGUGCCAGCAGCCGCGGUAAUACGUAGGGGGCAAGCGUUGUCCGGAAUUAUUGGGCGUAAAGCGCGCGCAGGCGGUUGUUUAAGUCUGGUGUAUAAACCAAGGGCUCAACCUUUGGACGCAUUGGAAACUGGGUGACUGGAGUGUAGGAGAGGAAAGUGGAAUUCCACGUGUAGCGGUGAAAUGCGUAGAGAUGUGGAGGAACACCAGUGGCGAAGGCGACUUUCUGGCCUAUAACUGACGCUGAGGCGCGAAAGCGUGGGGAGCAAACA
rnacentral:rRNA from 1 species